rnacentral:rRNA from 1 species
UACGUAGGGCGCAAGCGUUGUCCGGAAUUAUUGGGCGUAAAGAGCUCGUGAGCGGUCUGUCGCGUCGGCUGUGAAAACCCGAGGCUCAACCUCGGGCCUGCAGUCGAUACGGGCAGACUAGAGUGCUGUAGGGGAGACUGGAAUUCCUGGUGUAGCGGUGAAAUGCGCAGAUAUCAGGAGGAACACCGGUGGCGAAGGCGGGGUCUCUGGGCAGUAACUGACGCUGGAGGAGCGAAAGCGUGGGGAGCAAACAGG